GACGAACGCUGGCGGUGUGCUUAACACAUGCAAGUCGAACGGUAAGGCCCUUUCGGGGGUACACGAGUGGCGAACGGGUGAGUAACACGUGAGUAACCUGCCCUCAUCUCUGGGAUAACAGUCGGAAACGGUUGCUAAUACUGGAUAUGAGCUUGCAAGGCAUCUUGUGGGUUGGAAAGAUUUUUUUUGGUUGGGGAUGGACUCGCGGCCUAUCAGCUUGUUGGUGAGGUAGUGGCUCACCAAGGCUUCGACGGGUAGCCGGCCUGAGAGGGCGACCGGCCACAUUGGGACUGAGAUACGGCCCAAACUCCUACGGGAGGCAGCAGUGGGGAAUAUUGCACAAUGGACGGAAGUCUGACGCAGCAACGCCGCGUGCGGGAUGACGGCCUUCGGGUUGUAAACCGCUUUCAAUUGUGACGAAGCUUUUUUGUGACGGUAGCAGUAGAAGAAGCACCGGCUAACUACGUG
rnacentral:rRNA from 1 species